GGAGAUAUAACUCAGUGGUAGAGCGCAUGCCUAACAUGCACACGGUCCUGGGUUUAAGUCCCUAGUAUCUCCA
rnacentral:tRNA from 1 species